GGGUCUGAGAAGCGCAGUGAAGAACUUGAAUCGUGUUGGACAUAUCUAAGGUGCAAAAAAAUGGUACCUGGGGCAUGUCUCUUGAGCUACCAGCUUUCUUAGGAGGAAAUAUACUGAGUGACAGGUCUACUGUAAUUUGUAUGUUCUGCCAUCAAAAAACACUUGGAAAUCGACUGCUUAAAUCUGUGGUACUUAACCCUGCUGCGAUGCACAUUGAACGGUAGAGGGCGCUACCCAGCCUAGAGACUGCAAAAUAGGACACAUUUUUGGGACUGGAGGAAUAUGCUUUUCUACUGUUUUGCCUCUGAAUCCCUUGAAAUUCUGAACGUGUCCACAUGGCUUAUCAAGUACACCAGAAGCUAACAAAAAGAUACCACCUUCUUUCUGAUGAUUAGCAAGAGCUACUUACAUUUUGCUGGAUUUUCUUCCCUUCACCAAAGGCUUAAAACCCAAGAGAGAGUUAAC